ACUCCUGCCGAUGGAUAUCUUGGCUCUCGCAACGAUGAAGAACGCAGCGAAAUGCGAUACGUAGUGCGAAUUGCAGAAUUCAGUGAAUCAUCGAACCUUUGAACGCAAAUGGCGCAUCCGGGCUCCGCUCGGACGCAUGUCUCUUCGAGGGGCGCCUCCAUCCUCCUCGGAGCGAGAGAGCUCUCUCUCUCGUCUCCGGAGCCGGCGGCCGCGCGGGGGAGCCUCGGCCCCCUCGCGCGCCCGCCCAAGGCUGCCUUGCGAGCGCGGCGGCGGCGUCUAACCCGCGUCCCCGCCGGAGUGCUAAGUCCACGACUAGACCUCCGGCGGACGCGUGCCCCGUUCUGCCUCGCGACCCCCGGCGUGCGCGGUGCCUCUCCUCUCCUCCGGGAGAGCGAGGCCCGCCCGCCCCGGCGCGCGGCCGCUCUCUGUGCGGCCGCGCGCCUCGAAACCCGCCAUCGAAUGAGGCAAGACUACCCGCUGAACUUAAGCAUAUCACUAAGCGGAGGAGAAGAAACUAACCAGGAUGCCCCUAGUAAUGGCGAAUGAAGCGGGCUGAGCUCACGCUGCCAAUCUGGAGGCCUCGCGUAUGCAGCGCCCCCCGAAUUGUGGUCUAGAGAGGCGUUAUCGGCCGCGCCCGCCGCUCAAGUCCCUUGGAACAGGGUGUCGGAGAGGGUGAGAAUCCCGUACCGUGGCGGGUUGCGGCCUUACGAUGCGUCCUCGUCGAGUCGGGUUGCUUGGGAUUGCAGCUUGAAUUGGGUGGUAAAUUCCAUCUAAAGCUAAAUACUGGCGAGAGACCGAUAGCGAACAAGUACCGUGAGGGAAAGAUGCAAAGAACUUUGAAAAGAGAGUCAAAGAGUGCUUGAAAUCGGUAGGAGGAAACCCGGAUGGGCCCGGCUUCGGCGCGCCGACUCAGCCUGGGGUUCUCCCCAGGUGCACUUCUGCGCGCCGGGUCAGCCGCGCCUCGGCGCCGCGCCUCAACCCGGGAGCGGGGCUUUACGGCCAGCUCCCGUCCUGGCGCGGCCCGGGGCCCGGCUGACGGAACGGGCCCCUCCGACCCGUCUAGAAACACGGACCAAGGAGUCUGACACGUGUGCGAGUACCCGGGUGGCAAGCCCGCGUGCGGAAUGAAAGUGAAGGGCAUGCCCUGCCAACCGACCUUGACCUUCUGUGAGGGGUUUGAGUGGAGCACACCUGUCGGGACCCGAAAGAUGGUGAACUAUGCCUGGGUAGGGUGAAGCCAGAGGAAACUCUGGUGGAGGCUCGUAGCGAUACUGACGUGCAAAUCGUUCGUCGAAUCUGGGUAUAGGGGCGAAAGACUAAUCGAACCAUCUAGUAGCUGGUUCCCUCCGAAGUUUCCCUCAGGAUAGCUUGAACGCAACGGUUUUGUCAGGUAAAGCGAAUGAUUAGAGGCCUGUGGGCUGAAACAGCUUGCACCUAUUCUCAAACUUUAAAUGGGCAAGAGGCCCGGGAUGCUUGAGUGAUCCCGGGCGGCGAACGGCGCGUUCAAAGUGGGCCAUUUUUGGUAAGCAGAACUGGCGAUGCGGGAUGAACCGAACGCCGCGCUAAGGUACCCAAGUGUCCGCUCAUCAGAUACCACAAAAGGCGUUGGUACCUCCAGACAGCAGGACGGUGGCCAUGGAAGUCGGAACCCGCUAAGGAGUGUGUAACAACUCACCUGCCGAAGGUACUAGCCCUGAAAAUGGAUGGCGCUCAAGCGGACCACCGAUGCGCGGCCGCCGGCGCGAGCGCGAGGCGCCGGCGAGUAGGAGGGCGCGGGGCUCGCGGCGCAGCCUUGGGCGCGAGCCUGGGUGAAGCGGGCCCCGGUGCAGAUCUUGGUGGUAGUAGCAAAUAUUCAAAUGAGAACUUUGAAGACUGAAGUGGAGAAAGGUUCCGUGUGAACAGCAGUUGGACACGGGUGAGCCGACCCUAAGAGACAGGAAAACUCCGCCGAACGCGGCUGGUUCUGUCAGCCCGUCCGUCGAAAGGGAAUCGGGUUAAUAUUCCCGAGCCAGCGCGUGGAUGGUGGGCGGCGACGCGAACGAACCCGGAGACGCCGGCGGGAGCCCUGGGAAGAGUUCUCUUUUCUUCUUAACUGCCUCCUGCCCUGGAAUCGGUUUAGCCGGAGCGAGGGCUACACGGCAGGCAAAGCACCCUAAGUCUUGGGGUGUCCGGCGCGCUCCCGACGGCCCGUGAAAAUCCGGGGGAGCGGUUCGUUCUCACGCCUGGUCGUACUCAUAACCGCAUCAGGUCUCCAAGGUGAACAGCCUCUAGUCGAUAGAGCAAUGUAGGUAAGGGAAGUCGGCAAAAUGGUUCCGCAACCUCGGGAGAAGGAAUGGCUCUGAAGGCUGGGCGCAGGGGUCCUAGGCUCGAGGCCGGCUGGCUGCGCGGGGACUACGGCCUCACGGCUGCGGAUCCCGCGCGGCCGUCCGGCGGACGGCCUAGGAGCGCUCCGGCUCUCCCUGCGCGACGAACAGCCGCUUCAGAACUGGCGCGGACAAGGGGAAUCCGACUGUUUAAUUAAAACAAAGCAUUGCGAUGGCCCGCGAGGGUGCUGACGCAAUGUGAUUUCUGCCCAGUGCUCUGAAUGUCAAAGUGAAGAAAUUCAACCAAGCGCGGGUAAACGGCGGGAGUAACUAUGACUCUCUUAAGGUAGCCAAAUGCCUCGUCAUCCAAUUAGUGACGCGCAUGAAUGGAUUCGUGAGAUUCCCACUGUCCCUAUCUACUGUCUAGCGAAACCACAGCCAAGGGAACGGGCUUGGAAGAAUCAGCGGGGAAAGAAGACCCUGUUGAGCUUGACUCUAGUCUGUUACUGUGGAACGACUUGAUGGGUGUAGAAUAUGCGGGAGGGGCAACCCGACAGUGAAAUACCGCAACCGUCAACGUUGUUUUACUUACUCGGUGGCGCGGAGGGAGGCUCGCCUCACUUCUGGAUCCAAGCCGCUUCGUGCGCGCGAUCCGCGUCGGGGACACUAACAGGUGGGGAGUUUGGCUGGGGCGGCACGUCUGUUAAAAAAUAACGCAGGCGCCCGAUUUUGAGCUCAAUGAGAACAGAAAUCUCAUGUGGACCGAAAGGGGAAAAGCUCGGUUGAUUUUGAUUUUCAGUACGAAUACAAACCGCGAAAGCGUGGCCUAUCGAUCCUCUCGUCUUUGGGAAUUUCAAGCUAGAGGUGUCAGAAAAGUUACCACAGGGAUAACUGGCUUGUGGCUGCCAAGCGUUCAUAGCGACGUAGCUUUUUGAUCCUUCGAUGUCGGCUCUUCCUAUCACUGCCUCGCAGCGGGGGCCAAAUGCAGGAUUGUUCACCCACCAACAGGGAACGUGAGCUGGGUUUAGACCGUCGUGAGACAGGUUAGUUUUACCCUACUGCUGUCUGUUUUUCUACGGUAAUUUGGUUCAGUACGAGAGGAACCACCAAUUCGCAUCAUCGGUAUAGCCGCCGCCGGAAACGGCGAUGCGGCGAAGCUGCCAUGCGCCGGAUUAUAACUGAACGCCUCUAAGUUAGAAUCCAUGCCGGAAGGAAAGCCACCUACCGGCCCGGGGACGCCACGAGCAACGGUAGCACUGCCUGAGCCGCGAGCGACCACAAUUCACGGACCCGGGCCGACGAAUCCCUUGCAGACGACUUGAAUAAGGAACGGGGUAUUGUACGCGGCAGAGUGGCCUUGUUGCCACGAUCCGCUGAGAUUCAGCCUUGGUUCUGACGAUUUGUUGCGCGCGCGCAACAACCCUCAAGGGCCUCUCCCGUUCCUCAGUCGCUCUCUCGGCGCUCUCCCCCCCUCGCCUCUUCUCCGAGCCUCACUCGCUCGGGGGCGGAGCCGAGGGGGCGAGAGCGCCAUUUCUGCCCAAGGCAGCGCGCAGGCCACUGCGCAGACACACCCGGCUCUCCCCGAGCCGCCAUUGGGCGCUCCCGCGGUCCCCUCCGGGCUGAAUGCGGCCUCCGGAGCGGGCGGCGCGAGCGUCUAAGUCUACUCAGAGCCUUCCACGCUCUUCUUUGCGUUCCAAAGCACCCACUUUACCGUUACCUCCACCGCCCUCGCCACCGCCCUCGCCACCGCCCACGCCGCCGCGCUACCAUUCCGGCCACCCUCCCCACCCUCAUCCCCACCUUGCCCCCGCCGCCCGUUGCAGCUGCCGUCGCCGUCGAGCCCGCCCUCCGACGCUAGCCCCCGCCCUUUACCGCCGCCCUCGCCGCCCUCACCGCCGCCCCCGCCGCCACCCUCGCCUCCGUGUGACACUCCGCCUCCCGCCCCGCCGCCGCCGCCCUCCAGCAUGCCGCCGCUCUCACCCUCUCCCCUCCAGCCGCCCCACAACCCUAGCUGGCCGCCGCCCCCUCGCCACCACCGUCACCUCCACCGCCCUCGCCGCCGGCCUGCCCCAAGGCAGUGCGCAGGCCACUACGCAGACACACCCGGCCCUCUCCGAGCCGCCACGGGGGGCACUCCCGCGGUCCCCUCCGGGCUGAAUGCGGCCUCCGGAGCGGGCGGCGCAAGCGUCCUACCCCCCUCAGAGCCUUCCACGCUCUUCUUUGCGUUCCGAAGCACCCACUGCGCUCCUCUGUAGCAUCACCCAGUCACCUCCCUUGCCACUCUCCUUGCGCACUUGGCCGAGGCGUCGCCAGGCACGCACGCCGCUCCUCAACCCCGUGUCGGCCUGCCGCCGCCCUCGCCUCCAGCCGCCCCGCCACCCUCACCGCCACCGCCCUCGUCACCACCGUCUCCACCGCCGCUGCUCUCACCACCCUCGCCACCACCACCAUGCCCGCCUCCCUCGCUGCCACCCACGCCCCCGGCCCUUGCCGCCGCCCUUGCCCCCGCCCUCGCCCGCCGCCGCCUCCCGCCCCGCCGCGCCGCACUCACCCCCGCCCCUCUCGGCCUGCUGCCAAUCUCACCACCCCUCGCCGCCGCCGCCCUCGUCGCCACCGUCUCCGCCCCCUCCCUCGCCGCCGGGGCCCGGCCUCGCAGCCACGGCACCCUUGCCCCCACCACCCUCCUUCGACCUUCCGCCCCCGCCGCCCUCGCCGCCGCCCUCCCGCCCCGCACCACCCUCCCCUCGGCCGCCCUCCGGACUGCCGCCGCUCUCGCGCCCUCGCCUCCAGCCGCCCCGCUGCCCUCCCCACUGCCCCCUCGCCGCCACCCUACACCACCACCCUCGCCGCCGCCGCCCUCGCCGCCGCCCUACCCCCCUCGCCGUCUCCACAGAAGUCCUGUCACAACACACAAGAGCAGUGUUAGCACGUGGCGCCCCGCUAGAGCAGACUCACGCCGCUGCGCGUACGUAGCGGGCCACCCGCCACGUUUUGCACGUUGCGUUGGUCCGCGUUUUGAGGACACGUUCCACGUGUUGCGGUUGCCACGUCGUCGUCGAGCGUCGUCUCGUCUACGCACUAAAGCCGUACGGGAGACGGGAGCGCGCACACGUUCACGACGCGAAUUUGGACCGACACCAGCGGGCCGGCGGGCCCCGCCCCCCACACCAACAUGGCUAUCGAAGCUCAGAAUCGGUCUCCGCGGAGACCCAUUGGUCAUUGCGUAUUGCGCUCAUCUCCUCGCUAAAAAGAAACGAAAAGGAAGAACCUGAGGGAGGGUGUAGAGGAUGUAGAGUGUAGAGCGCUGUAGAGCUGUAGAGCUGUAGAGCGCUCUAGAGCGCUGUAGAGCUGUAGAGCUCUACAUCCGCCGCGGGACAGAGCGAUGCAGAUGUAGAGCGAAGGCCCUCUACAGCGUGAAAUCUCUAAACAUAAGCGGCGAACGAGGCACGGUCGCUCUCCGACAUGAGGCGCGUUGCACUUGCCAGUGCUGCCCUGGCCUUCUGUCUGCCCGCCCAAUGGGUGGCAGUUGCCUCUGCUGCUGUGGCAUGCCUCACGGCUGCGACUGGCCGGCGCCUCGGCGCGUCAGCUCGGCUCGGCGUAGCGAUCGUGGCCAGCGCAACUCGCCUGGACUGGACUCAACGCUCAGCCAGGAGCUCCCGCACGCGCUGGCGCGAGUCAUGGCGCAUGCAACGCGUCUGAAUGCUCGCCUCGCCUCGCGCAAAUGCGACCGUCCUCGCAGCCGACAGUCCACCGCCUGCUAAAGAAGCACUGCGACGAAUGCGGCACCGGCGACGCAUGGCAGGCUGGUCAUGACGCAGUUAUAGGGUGUUGUGUGCCGUCAGAGUGACUCUCUGUGUGUCAGGGAUAGUCAGGGCCGUCCACCAGAGCUCCAGUAAGCUCGGAGACACCCCAUUAGUGCGGCUCGACCUCUUUGAGUCACUGCCUUCCCGGCGGUUUUGCUGUAGAGCCUCUACAACAAACUCUACAGCAAAAUCGCGCUCUACAUCGCUCUACAUCUGCAUCGCUCUGUCCCGCGCCGGAUGUAGAGCUCUACAGCUCUACAGCGCUCUACAGCGCUCCAGGGCGCUCUACAUCUCUACAGCUCUACAGCGCUCUACACUCUACAUCCUCUACACCCUCCCUCAGGGAAGAACUUUGGUUUGU
rnacentral:rRNA from 1 species